rnacentral:rRNA from 1 species
CAUUGUGGAUAGUUAAGGGACGGUUGUUAAUUUGUUUGGAAUUGGGUGUGGUACCUUUUGCAUCAUGAUUCACUGAUGUAGUGCUAAAGAAUUAGGAACUCGAAGGGUUACGAUUAUCAUUCAGUAUGUUUAGAACUUCUAGUUAAAUGGGUAAUUUUCUAAAUAGCUGUUUGAAGUGUUGAAAAAUAAUUCGUGUAAUCUGAUAGCUAGUUAGAAAGGAAUAUUAUUAGAUGUGUUUUGUUGCGAAGCGGUGAUGGAAUAUGUAAGAAACGUGUUGUAAGUGUUAAGUGGACUUAAGGUCAGAGUUACCUUUGGUUUGGUAAUAUGUUAUUAUGAGGUGCUUAUGUUGUGGUGUUUUUAAUUGUAUACUUUCUGGCAUAAAUUGGUUGUAAGAAUUAAUGGUGGAAUAAGUAGAGUUAGUAGUGUCUUCUUUUUUUCUCGAUGCUUGUCGGUCUGUUUUUCAAAAACAUUUCUAUUCGUGGUUUUUGAAUAGUAGGACCUGCCCUAUGUUUAUAUAAAUGGCCGCAGUAUAUUGACUGUGCAAAGGUAGCAUAAUUAAUUGUCUCGUAAUUGGGGAAUUGUUUGAAUGGUCGAACCAGAUGAGAGAGAAGAUGGGAGAAGUGAUUGAAAUUGGAUAUUUGGUGCAGAUUCCAAAGGUGUUUAGUAGGACGGAAAGACCCCGAGAGCUUUAUAUUAAGAUAUUUAUUUGGGGCAAAGGUAAAUUAUUUAUUUAUUUUGUGAUCCUAUAUAAGAGGGUAAAAGGUGUAAGUUACCUCGGGGAUAACUAGGUAAGAAGUAAGGAGAGAUCAAAUCGAUUUAUUUAUUUGCCAUCUCGAUGUUGAUUUAAAGUAAUAUAAAGGCGCAGAAGUUUUUAUAUAAGGUCUGUUCGACCAUAGUACUUUUCAUGAAUUGAGUUAAGACCGGUGUAAGCCAGGUCGGUUCUUAUCUGCUGUUCUUACGGGUUAGUACGAAAGGAUUGCUCGUAAUUUAUGUU